AACCAUACAACCAGACUUCAUAGAAGUCUCAAACUAUGUACAAACAGUGAACAAGAACAACCUGUUAGGACGGAGGGAUUAUUAAUUUAUUACACAAUACUAUAUUACAUUUUCAGAUCUUCAAACUAUAAUAUAUACAGUAGAUCUCUGAUGUAUCGGAGUGGGAAUGCUGAGGCAGAAUGACAGAUCCUUCACUUGGAAAUCUUUUGAUGGCACAUAUUUUAACACAGCCAUUCCCACAGGCCACACCCCACUUUCACUUUUUUCAUUCAACAAAUGCCUUCUUUUACUGAAACAUCAUAUGUUGACCAGUCAACGUACUAAUCCCUAUAAUAUCUCUGGACCCCAUUGGUCCCCAUUGACAUGGCCCACUAAUAAUAUUUGUCCCCCGCCUAGAAAAACGCAAACAGCACAGUGUUUUCCCAGAGCAGGUUUGAAACAUGAACAAGGCAAAUUAGGCUAGUUAAGGAUUUUCAUAGGAUCCAAAUGCAGAUACAGAGUGGAAACAAUGAUUGUGGGUUGAUGAUAUGUUUGCUGCCUCUGACAUGGUAAUAACCGUUUGGAAUAUGUGUG
rnacentral:lncRNA from 1 species